AUGUAUUUAUUUCUUAACACUUUCCGUUUUGUGUGUUUUCCGACGUUCAUUCUGUAUUAUAAUAGUUCAGCAGGUGGCUCAGUGGUAAAGAAUCUGCUUGCCAAUGCAAGAGACUCAAGAGAUGUGAGUUCGACCCCAGGGUCAGGAAGAUCCCCUGGAGAAGAAAAUGGCAACCCACUUCAGUAUUCUUGCCUGGUAAAUUCCACGGACAGAGGUGCCUGGAGGGGAACCGUCCACAGGGCGCAAAGAGUUGGACAUGACCGAGCACACACACAGCGGGUUAAAGUUGGCUUCAAGUUUUCUGAUAAUCCUUCCACUGAAAAGCUAGCUUAUGAAGCUGAGAUCAAUCUGUUGAACACUGAACUGUCGUACGAGGAAGAUGAUAUCUUGUCCCUAAGUCCAUCUAUACAGGCUUAUUAUUGCUUUCAUUAUUGUGGUGAGAAACACACAGCGUAAAAUUUACCAUCUUAUCCAUCUUCACGUGUGCAGGACAGUAGUGUUAAUUACAUGCCCUCUGUUGUGCCACAAACCUCUGGAAUGAAUUUCUUCAUCCUGCAGAUUUGAAACUCUAUAUCCAUUGGACACCCCCUCCUUCCUCUCUCCCCCUAACCCCUGGCAACCAUGGUUCUAUUUUCUGUUUCUCAAUAACCUUGUUAUUUUUAUACCCAAGUUGUUACCAUUCGUUUGCUUCCUUGUGUCGAUGAUCAUAUCUCUAUUCAUCCAGUUCUUUCCACUUACAGUCUCUGCCAUUUGUCUUCACCUCCUACACUGGCUUUAUCACGCACAUCAAGUAACUUUGUACAGUUCCAUGUUUUGAAUCACCUCAUCAUUUUGCUUUCCAGAACAAUAUUUUUUCACUCUUAUCUGCAGCCCCACUCUUAGUGGUAACCUGUCCCAGAGGUUUCCCAAUAUUUUCCCACCUUGCCUUUGAAAACUGCGGAUGAGGAACCCUGGACUACCAGCCACCUUCAAGUAUAGUCUGAGGCCAUUUCUUACAGCCACACAUUGACAGAUAGGUUGGUCUCCUUAGCAGUUAGAAGUGGUUGAGCCUAGUAGAAGGUUAAGCAUAUGGAAUCUUGCCUGAGUGUAUGCUUGAUGAAGAGUAAUGCGGUCUCAGCAGUGCUUAAGGGUUUUCAAUCACUUAAAAUAGAUGCUGGGUUUGAUACGGUAGUCAAUCUCUAUCAGGCAUAUUCAGAAAACCUUGAAUCAUUCGAUUCAGCAAACCUCUGCUUAUGAUCAUUCAAUUCAACAAACCGCUGCUCAUGUGGCACUCAUGAUAGCAAUUUGAGUGAUGAGCGAGUUUUAGAAUGGCUUUGUUCCUACUGAGAACAUUUCCUUUGAAUGUUUCAAGGUUGGUGAACUUGGCCCCACACAUGCAGGGGUUGUCAGGUACUUGUGGUGGUGAAGCUGAUAAUUUAUGUCACAUUUUUAUUUUAUAGGGUUUAUACUUCUUCCAUGAUUCCUCAUAAACUCUUUAUGAAGUACAGAAUAUUGUACAGGAAGCUGUUUUUAGAAAUGAUUUUAUUUUUAGAGAAAGGGCUGAUAAAGAGUUAAUAUUUCUAGAUAGUAGAUAUAGACUUUUUUCUCCUGGGCUUUUAUUAAGCCUCCUGAGCCAUCGGACCUUGUAAGUCAGCACUGUCUAUAGUCUGAAUAUAGAUUAAUGUCCCCAUUAAUCAAUUACACAAGAAAACCAUUGGCAUUUAUCUGCUAUCUAGUGUGAUGAUUUUUCAAACCAAGUUGCGUAAGAAACACCUGGAGAAGAACUAGGAAAAUGUAAAUUCUCAGGCAUCAUUCCCUCAGGUUCUUAUCCACUGAUCUUUUGGGCCUAAAAAUAUGCUUUUUAAGCAUUUGAAUUUUUUAAUCUGUGAUGGAAUAUGCGUAACAAAAUUGACCAUUUUAAUCAUUUCUAAGUGUACACCUCAAUGACGUACAUUCAUAUUAUAGUGCAACCAUCACCACUAUCCAUCUCUACAACUGAAUCUAUGCUUUAAAAAUACCCUUGGUGAUCUUGAAGCAGGGAAUUCCUUCCACGUUUUGUGAAACACUGAUACAGUGUGGGCUUAGAGCUGGACUAGGCAUCAUGGGAAAAACAAAAUUGGUGAAGGAUGAUCCUGAGACUCAAGUGGUUUACACUUUGACAGAGAACAAGAGAAUACGAUGACAGAGGAAUAGCUAGAGAAUAAUCCCAGACAGAAGAAAAUUUAAGUGAUUAUAUAAUUAUACAUAUCAUUAUACAUAUACACAUGCCCAUUAAAUUGACAGGUAGGUGCUAAAAGGAAUGAGACCUGAAGAUACAUAUGAUUAAAGCUUCUGUGCUCAGUUGUGUCCGACUCCUUGCAACCUCUGGAUAAUAGCUUACCAGGCUUCUCUGUCCAUGGAGUUUUCCAGGCAAGAAGACUGGAGUGGAUUGCCAUUUCCUACUCCAGGGGAUCUUCUCCCCCCAGGGAUUGAACCGUGUCUCUUGUGUCUCCUGCAUUGGCAGGCAUAUUCUUUACCACUACACCACCUAGGAAGCAUAUAUAUGAUUGAAAAGUAAUGAAUACUAUGGCGGAAUGGGUCUUGAGUUUGACUCAAGCAAUGUUCUCUAUACAGCCUUGCUGGUCAUAAAGGCGACAAUGUUAGGAUUCUAGGCAAAGAAAGUCAUGUGAUCUGGUACAGAUAAGUCCAUUUCUCCAAAGAUUGAUGACAGCUCAUGCAAGUCAGUGAUUAUGCUGACAUCAUAUUUCCCAUCUAGAAAUGAGAAAAUGAAAUUCUGUGAAUCUUUCAGCAAGGAGCCAAAGACAUAAACAAGCACAACAGUGUCACAUGUUUUUGGUCACAUGGUCACAAGUGGAAAGUCAUAGAUCUUUUCAUAUGAAGAACACCUAGAUAAGAAUUAUUAAUUUGGUAAGUAUUCUUUCUUGCAGCUAAAAUAAUAAAGAGAAUUUCCACUUUUCCA
ensembl:lncRNA